GAUAAAAAGAAAAAGAGAAGGAAGUGGUUCUUCUUUGGCGGUGGAGGUCUUCUCUCUCAAGAAAAUCUAUGAAAAUUUGCAGCUAACACGCGAAGAAGAUGAGGAAGAUGAAGAUAUAAUAUUUCUGAAGGAAUUGAAGUAAGAUUUGUUGGUGAAAUUCAAGAAGGAAGUGAAGGAAGUCUGGAAUAGAGGCCAAUCUGAGCGUAUUCUGGGUUUUCUGUGAUAUCUGGUUGUACAGAACGACUUAGAAGCUCCAAUUGGUCAGGUGGAAGUCAGUGGGUAAGAAAAAUCGAGAAACUGGAGAGAGCUCUGGUUCUUGAAGCGGUUUGAGCUUUCUAGGAGGAGUUAGAAGCUGAAAUGUGUGAGGUGGAACAGAAGGGGGUUGCAGGAAUCGUGAAGAAUGGUACCUUCUGGUUCCAGGCGAUUUCUGGACAAUCCAACGGUUUUUAGGUCUUUCUAUCUUCAAUUUGGCUGAAAAUCUGGAAAAACGCUGGGGACUUGCUGCCAGCUUGUGUGGGUGCCUCACGGUCAAGACCGCCCCUCAGCACGCCUAUUGCUUGCUUCAGCACCUUCCUAAGCCCACAGCACGCCCAUCCUUGCCCACAUGUAUGUGUCAAUAGCCAUGGCACCUAAAUUUGAGUAAGUUAAGGCCUAUUUUGAAGUCGGUCAGACAAGGCUUUGCGAUAUGUAUAAACACCCGGGGAAACGAGCUCCGAAUAGUGAGUGACAAAAAUGUUUUCAAACUAUGCUUUAUUAAGUUAUUGAAAAAUCUGCAAUUACAUGUUUAUGAGCAAAGACUUCCCAGGCAUAUUGUUAUUUUCUUAUAAAUGAUUGGAUGAUGCCUGAAGUGAGUUUUAUGUUCAAUGUUAUUUAAAUAUGAUUGACGAGCUUGUACCUAUGAUUUGUAAGCAUCCUAUGUUUCACGUUUCUUGAAGUAUGUUUUACAAGCUAUUGAGUACUGAACAUGUUUUAGUUAAAUGAUAAGUACCCUAUGUACCGAUACCUAAGGACAUCGAGACGGUAUCGAAAUGAAUGGGACCCUAACACAUGAGGACUUCGGUGAUGUAUCAAGACAGCCCGAUGUAUGAGAGCUCUGCAUGCACGUAUCACAGUUUACGACGAUGAGAGUGUUGAGCUUGCUCCACCUCAACUAAGGAUUUAAGGGUACUAUGUUUUCAGAUGGUUACGAUGUUUAUGAACUAUGUUUUCAAAUGACAAAGUAUUUAUGAACCAUGAUUUCUAGUUUUAUGACUAUGGAAUGUGUUAUGCAAAAGGUUUCCCUAUGUUGAAACCAGCUUGAUUUUGAUUUAAUAAGAACGUUUAAAUAUCUCUAUCACUCAUUAGACAUCUGUCUAAUGUUUUCAAAUGUUCUCUUUCUUCCCAGGUAGCGAAAGGUUUCCAGGAGCUUGACCUAACCUUGCAAAGUCUCUGGUGUGGAUCCUCCCUUAGCUUAUUAUUAUUAAGUUUUGAGUUAGUUGGCAUGUAGUAGGCAUGGUGGAAAGUUGGGGUAGAGAGAACCUUUGUUGUGUAAACUUAGCAGAUGAUUGUAUAAAGUCUACUUCAGUAUAUAUGAAAACAUGUUGUGAAAGGAUUCUGUAUGCCAGUGUAGUGGAAGAUCAAGUUAAUUA